UAGUAACAGCCAUGAAUUGUAUCUUCCCUCUCUCUCAGGCUCAUGGCCCUUCUUCUCUCCUCCUCCCUACACCCUCCAACCUCUCCUUUAAACCCCAAACUCAACUCUCUUAGCACUCCACUUUCGAACGCUGUUAUUACCAAGAGACAGCUUAUCAUUAAUACAACUACUUCCUUCUCCAUCAUUUUUGGGGCACAACAAAACCCAGUUCCACAAUGUUUAGCUCAACCUUCUAAUCCUUCCAAACCGUCGGCUUUGAACAUCGCAAACACCAAAGCUUGGUUCCAGUUCUAUGGUGAUGGUUUUGCCAUCAGGGUUCCUCCUGAGUUUGAAGACAUCAUGGAGCCUGAGGAUUUCAAUGCUGGAGCUUCCCUGUAUGGGGACAAGGCAAAGCCGAGGCCUUUUGCGGCACGAUUUGCUUCAACCGAUGGAUCCGAGGUUUUGAGCGUUGUCAUUCGCCCGACCAAUCAACUCAAAAUCACCUUCCUAGAGGCCCAAGAGAUUACAGAUUUAGGUUCCAUAAAGGACGCAGCUAAAAUCUUUGUACCAGGUGGAGCAACACUUUAUAAUGCCAGAACCAUAAAGAUAAAGGAAGAUGAAGGUUUCAAGACUUACUAUUUCUAUGAAUUUGGAAGAGAUGAGCAGCACAUCGCGAUAAUGGCCACCGUUAAUGGUGGAAAGGCCAUCAUUGCUGGUACAACUGCUCCACAAUCGAAGUGGGAUGAUGAUGGAGUGAAGCUUCGAUCUGCAGCAAUCUCAUUGACAGUUCUGUAGUCCAUGGCAUAAAGGCAGGCUUUACAUUUGUUGGCCCUAUGAUCUUCUCAAUGUUAACCUUAUUGCACAUUGGGUUGACGAGACAUCUUGGAAACAAUCACUGGAGAACUUCAUUGGACAAUUCCAGAAGUUUACAACAGCAGAAAGUUUUGAUGGAAUAUAAUUAAUCCCUUUUAUUUGUUUAUACAUUUGAUCACGAAUAAGCACAAUUCAUGAAAAAUACCAAAAAAAGAAACAUUAUGGUAAAUUGAAGCUGAAAUAAGGUCAAGAACAAAGCAUAAGGUGAUCAAUACUGAAACAAGUCUCUGAACCUAUGAAAAUCAAUAUCCCGACAUGAUUAUAUUGUCAGUUUAUUCUAAAUGUCGAGUAAUGGAUGCUUGAAUUUCUUCUAGUGUUCGCCCCUUGGUCUUUGGCACCAGCUUUGCGAUGAACAUGAUUUCUACCCCAGAAAUUGUUGAAAAUAUGAAGAAUGUUCCUGUAAUAGUGCAAUGAUAAAUGGUUUUAGAAUGAUAACUCCGGUGGAAGAAUUCCAUAUACGUCAUAAUCGUGAUUAAGUUAUUGUUAUAUAUUGUGUUCUACAUUAUUCGGAUUUGGAUGAGUGUCGGAUCAUGUUUGGAGCGUACUUCAAGGGAAUAAAAGUCCCAAUUAACAUAGUUGGUGGUAAUAAA